GAUGAACGCUGGCGGCGUGCUUAACACAUGCAAGUCGAACGGUGAACACGGAGCUUGCUCUGUGGGAUCAGUGGCGAACGGGUGAGUAACACGUGAGCAACCUGCCCCUGACUCUGGGAUAAGCGCUGGAAACGGCGUCUAAUACUGGAUAUGUGACGUGACCGCAUGGUCUGCGUUUGGAAAGAUUUUUCGGUUGGGGAUGGGCUCGCGGCCUAUCAGCUUGUUGGUGAGGUAAUGGCUCACCAAGGCGUCGACGGGUAGCCGGCCUGAGAGGGUGACCGGCCCCACUGGGACUGAGACACGGCCCAGACUCCUACGGGAGGCAGCAGUGGGGAAUAUUGCACAAUGGGCGCAAGCCUGAUGCAGCAACGCCGCGUGAGGGAUGACGGCCUUCGGGUUGUAAACCUCUUUUAGCAGGGAAGAAGCGAAAGUGACGGUACCUGCAGAAAAAGCGCCGGCUAACUACGUG
rnacentral:rRNA from 1 species